AUUCCUAACCAGGAGAUACGUACGACUACCACCGGUAGCCAGGUAAACUGGUUGGAUUUGACACUUGUAUCGGCCCGGGACUGCCAUGGAAAAGACACCUACUUUAUUCGUCUGCGGCAAGUUGCAGGCAGAUUGAUCCACUGGAAAGCACCUUUUCGGGAGGUAGACAAGGACAGAGCGGUGGUGCACGUCUCAGAGGCUUUGAGACCCAGGGCUUGCCGAGCUAGUGGGUUGCUGCCAAAAACCAACACGGAAAGAGCCUGAAACAGUUUGCCUGGGUGGCAGCAUCACAUCUUCAGACCCAGGAAAAUGGCACGCCUGGGAGGCAGUCAAAACCAGAAAGCUGCAUGCUUGGGGGACAGUCACUUACAUUAAACAGCACAGCGGCAGGCCUGAAUGGUUUCUGGAACUUAAGAGGAGCGCGCUGCAUUAGGGGCUGAGAUGGACUAAUAAGGGAGCCUGGGUUGCAUCAUCGGCCAAUAAUAGCUCACCACGAGGAAAGGGCUGUAAGAAGAACAGUAAGACCCAGCAGAGCGCGGUGAUCAGAACAAUCCACUGGUGAGUUCUCUGGUUCCUUCCCACUUGGCCCUUUCUCGCCGCCUUAUGAUGCAGUGGGUGAAACAACAGAAGUAGUAGGAAUAGGGCCUGGUUGGAUAGCUCAGAGCUUCAGCUCUUUUAUAUAUGUAUCUGCACAUGGAAUUUGAGGAGUAGGGGCAAAGUUAUCUCAAGGUUUAUGGUAUAGAGUUAGGGUGCUCUUAAGGUGCUCUUGAGUCAAGGAGUUUCUCAAAACGCGGUCGACUAACUUAUUUCCCAACAUGAGUAGCCUGAGUAAACCAGUCCAUCCACUGCCUCUUGUGUGUUGUCUGGCUGUGGCGUUAAUCCACUGGAAGCUCCCUGUACCCCUGACCCUUUGAUUGGCUAAUCCUCUUUGACCCGCCAGGUGGCGUGAGGGUUUCUGGGAGAGAGAUUCAAAGUGGAGGAGGAGCUAGACUGUCCGAGAUCGAAGUGACUGAUCCAACUGAACAGGGCCCAUGUUCAAAAACCAUCUCUUAGUAGGAAUGCUGAUGGAGGAUCAGGUCCUCCUUUUCCAUAUAAUCCUAUUCAUUAUGAUCUAUUAAAGGUUAAACUGAUCCAAGAUCAGCACUCUUUAUGAAUACGCGACCUGGUCCUUUGUUCGAGCCCUUUUCUGUAUGCCUUUUAACAUGACUGUGCUAGUGCACUCCGGAUUGUUUGUUUGUGGGGCUAUGGCUAUAUCCCACUACUGACACCAAUCUGGCACAUUUGGUGUGGACACACCUCGGAGUUGAUGUUUGACUGUUGUACGUCAUAGUCUAAGACAAAAUCAGAAACCAGAACCCUAGGCCGAC
rnacentral:lncRNA from 13 species